GAUGAACGCUGGCGGCGUGCCUAAUACAUGCGAGUCGAGCGAACAGACGAGGAGCUUGUUCCUUUGACGUUAGCGGCGGACGGGCGAGUAACACGUAGGUAACCUACUUCUAAGACUGGGAUAACUUCGGGAAACCGGAUAUACUACCGGAUAAUAUUUCGAACCGCAUGGUUCGAUAGUGAAAGAUGGCUUUGCUGUCACUUAUAGAUGGACCUGCGCCGUAUUAGCUAGUUGGUAAGGUAACGGCUUACCAAGGCUACGAUACGUAGCCGACCUGAGAGGAUGAUCGGCCACACUGGAACUGAGACACGGUCCAGACUCCUACGGGAGGCAGCAGUAGGGAAUCUUCCGCAAUGGGCGAAAGCCUGACGGAGCAACGCCGCGUGAGUGAUGAAGGUCUUCGGAUCGUAAAACUCUGUUAUUGGGGAAGAACAAACGUAUAAGUAACUGUGCACGUCUUGACGGUACCUAAUCAGAAAGCCACGGCUAACUACGUG
rnacentral:rRNA from 1 species